rnacentral:lncRNA from 1 species
UUCCAUUUUCUUGGAGAAUGUCUUCUGAUGAGUAAAAUCUUGCAUUUUUUUUUUUUUCAAUUGGGUUGCUAAUGUCUUCUGAUGAGUAAAAUCUUGCAGAAUGUCUUCUGAUGAGUAAAAUCUUGCAUUUUUUUUUUUUUCAAUUGGGUUGCUCUUUUUGCUUUGGAUGGUAAACCAUUGUGAUGUUUUUGCAAAUGUGUUUGUGCAUCUUCAUUUUAUAUUUCAUUCCAUUCAACAAGCAAGUGAAAACUUGUUUUAUAAACUCCAAGCACAUUAUUAGAUCAUUUGUGC